UAGAGCAUGAGCAGUUUGGUUUGAUUCCCUAAAAACAUGGAGAAAAGAAAUCGAAGCAAAAGAGUUCGCCAGGGAAUGAAUAUCAGCUAUACGAUUUGCCACCUCACCCCUAGAGACCGAAAUUUCACAAAUUGAGUCGAUCACAUUCUUCGAAUCAGACUCCACCAACACUCGAGAAAGCCCUAGCCUUUCUGCAAGCCUCAAACCUUCACAAAUUGCAGCAAUUUCAGCGAGUUGAGGAUUCGUCCCCAGAUCGAUCGUCUCUGAUAACAACUCCUAAUCCAGAUCGACGCGAAUCACAAUCAUCAUCGGUGUUUAUUUUCACUACCCCACAGGGGGGAGGUUUCCAAGCGUUCUUCCGAGAUUGCCCAGCAAUAAUACUUGCAAGAAUAAGCUCAGAUUUGGAGAACUCACCUACCCAAGCCAUCCAACGAUCAAUAAAAUCAAUGGUAGACCGACCGUCCCUCAACAUAUUCGGCAACAAACAGUCCCAAAUUUGACGGGCUCUUUUGCAACUCACCAACGCAUGAUCCACAGACUCUUCCUUCUUCAAACAAACCAGACAUAAAGUGAGGGAUUCUCUAGGCUGACAACCAAUCCGAGCUUGUUGAUUAAUGAGUUGCACAAAGUCAAGCUAAAUCAAAGUUGCUACUAUAAAAUUACGAGUAUCCUUAGGUGAGACUCUUUUCGAAACAGAGUGGGAACUGAGUUAAGCGAAAUGAUUCCUUGCUUUCCAAAGAGGCUGAAAUACUCUCCUCAGAACUUCCCCGGAAAUAACUCGCUGAAGUAGUAAUUUCCCAGCUAGACAUGCUUCCAGUUGCCUUUCCGCUCACUUCGUCGCUCCCAGAUCAAUAUCCACUGUUACCUCCUCUUCUACAGAUGUUAGCUUGAACUUUUUCCAGUCUUCCAAGAGAUCCGUUGUCCCCAUUCCUAU